rnacentral:misc_RNA from 1 species
GUUUUGUUUUGGGAAAGAGAAGACCAUAUUCUUCAUAAGACGACAUGCCGUUUAGAGAAACGACGGUUCUUAAAAAUUUACUGCUGUUCACAAAUGAGAACACGACAUUUCGUUUGCCAACGGUAUUUAAUUUCGUAUAAAGCGGCCGGGUGCAAUACAGCAAUUGUCACUACUAAACGACAACCGUUUUUUGCCUGUCAUUUAAAGGUAGGUUUGCAGUAUCCGCUCUUCUCGCUCUCCAACAACACUACCGAUGAACUCCGCGCACAGGCACAGCGCAAUCCUAACGAUCACUUCCCCUUCUUUCUCCGGCGAAUUUCGAAACCCUAAUUUCAAAACCUUAAUUCCUCAAAAUUGCGCUCGAAUUUACACUAAAUGUCGUCUAAACCCUAAACCUAGUAUUUCCAUUUAUAAAAUCCCUACAAGUUUGAAGCUGAGAACUUCCAAAAUUAGAGCUUCAGUGGACAACACGGGUGAGACUGGGAACUGGUUAAAUCGGUUUCCGACAGGCGCUUUGGCUGCCGAUAAGAUUUUUAGUCUUAUUUCGGGUGCCACAGCGAGUCCUAUUGGCCAGUUCAUAUCUUCGCCAACCACCUUUUUGCACUCUGUUGACCCCAGAAUUAAAUUGAUAUGGCUCUUGGUCUUAGUUGUUUUGCCAGCACGGUCACAUAUAGUAAUGCGUUUUGGAUUGGUAGUGUACAUUGCUCUUCUGUCAAUAUGGAUUCUCCCAAGACAAGUCUGGAUGGAUCAGUUGGGAAGAGUGUCAUUGCUUUCUGGAAUUCUAUUGAUAAUGUUGGGGCUGGGUUCAGAUAGUGCACCUCCUCUUGUCCAGCCAAGAACUCCACCACCUGCAAUGAUGGACUUACCCAAUCUUCCUAUGUCUUUGGGAGGUUAUUCGUAUUUAAUCAUGAAGCUAGGGCCAUUAAAGUUUACAAGGAAGGGUCUAUCAGUAGCAAGCACAGCUGCAUGCUUAACCUUUACUGUAAGUUCCUUUCAUAUCUUUAGGUCCUUUUUCUCUCUCCAUGAUAAUUAAGUUCUUAUGAACCGUUUCAUGUAGCAUCUGAGGACACAAAUCAUUCAUACGUGCGCAUGUGUACUCAGACAUUAUUAACAUGGAGUCAUAUCUCAGACCCUUAAAAAAAAAUUUAUGUCAUGGGUUUUAAUUGAGCAGAGCUAAGUUGAAUUCAGAUUUGGUAUAUUAAGCACAUAUAUAGUAAUAAGUGUUUUUUGAUGUACAAAUAAACUAUUGGUCAUUCUGAGGAGUAGGUCUAUGUUUUUUGAAAGAUUUUCCAAAGUGCAAGCCUCUGCUUGGCAACCACAACUCCAGAACAAUUGGCAUUUUCAUUGCGGUGGUUUAUGCUCCCUUUGAGGUAUAUUGGUGUACCAGUGGCUGAAAUUACCCUUACCCUCUUACUGUCUUUGAGGUUCAUCAAUCUAGUGUUUGACGAGGUAAGAGAAAGAUCAGUUGAUUAGUUAAUUAUUUGUCAAAUAAACUGCAGAUUUUUAAAUAUUUUCUGAUGUUCUCUUUGACAUUUCAACAUAUUAUUUUGAUGGCUUUUUGAAAAUUUUUUACAUUUGUAAUUGCCCUCAUAAUCUGUUUUUUUUUUAAUUUUGUUCGCAGGUACGCAAUGUUGCACUAGGGAUUGUAUCUCGUAGGAUCAAUUGGGAGCAAUUGACAAUCAUGGAGACAAUUGAUAUUUUUGCUUCCUACAUACGUAGAAUCUUCAAGAAUAUUUUUAACCAUGCAGAGCAGAUAUCUCAGGUUUUCCUCCACCUCCUCUUAAUUUUUUUUUUUCUCCCUGACAAUGAGUCAUCAAUUCUAACGUUUGUCUGAUUUUAACUGUGUUACUUCUAAUAAGGAUGUGACAUCUCAAUUAGUAAAUUUCUAGCAUAUGCCAAUCUCUUUGAGAAAAUUUGAUACUGGCCCCUACAAGAAAGCUCGAUGAACAUUCCAAUGGAAGAGAAAUUUGACAGGAUAUAGUAUUGAUAGUAGUGGUGGAAGUUGGGAAAAUAAAUUCCUUAAAAAUAAGGGAUAAGUUGUCAUACGAACUCUUUUGAAGAAAUUUAUGCUGCAUAUUGAUGAUUCCUUCUUGAAAAUGAUAACAGAAAGUGGGGUAUUAUAUUUGUUUUUGAGCUCAGACAAAAUUCACUUGUGUGCUUAAUGAAAAUGGUAACUUUCAGGCUUCUUAACCAAUUUUCUGAACUUUGGCCCCAAUUUUAAUGGCAGAAUCCUAGGGCAGCAACCAUUCAUUAUAUUAACAACAUCAUGCAUUAAUUUUAUAUCCCUGUAUAUGAAAAAAAGUUAAAAUCUUCAUCUAAUUGGCCUUUACCAAUAAGGUUAGAAGAGAGGGAUAAUUAUGUGAUAAUACUUGCUGUUUGCUGCUAGCUAAAGGUUUCUGCUUUUAAUAUUGUACCUACUCUAUGGAAUUUACAGGCCAUGAUUGUGCGGGGUUUUAGAGGGGACAGCAACUCUCAUAAAAUCUACUUCUUAUCAGUGUCAUCAAUUGGGAUGGCAGAUUUUAUUUCUGUACUGUGCCUGAUUGGUGUUGUGGGUGGUGCUUUUCUAUCUGACCAUUUCCUUGUCUGAGUGCCAUUUCUGCAGUUAUAUGGGUAAAUUCAUUUAUCACAAAAUAUCUUGCCAUGAAUUUCAAAUACGAUCUCCCUGCUCUUUUCUAAGGCCACGAUCAAAAUGAUCUGGAGGUCAAAAUGCUAAUUAAUUCUUGGAUAUCAUCUACACGUACAGAUUCAGCUGCUUGUUAGCGGAGAGAUUGUUACAUGACACAUGAAAAUUUUACAAUUCACUGGAGAUAAUGCAUUGCAACUAUUGUUAACAAUGGUUUUAGCCCUGUGACCAAGGCAUCAAGUGUGAGUGUGCCAGGUCAUCUGCUAAAAUACUGAAGAUUUUUGAAGUAGAUAUUUUGUGCAUUUAAAGUGCUCAGGUCCACGCUUAAAUUUCUAGUGCCUCCAAGGCAAGUUUCUACCAUCGUUGUUAAGAUUUUUGUAGCAUACCCUUAUACGUGUAUAAGCAUUGUUGUAUGUGGCUGAAGGAAGUACUUUUGAAAUAAGAUCACUGCACAUUUUAGCUGUGUCACUUGUCAGGAUUCUCGUUUAAAAUAGAAAAUAAAGAAAGAAUUUACCCGUUCUGUGGAAUGGAUCUCAG